ensembl:sense_intronic D630014O11Rik RIKEN cDNA D630014O11 gene
GGGGACGCAGAAGCAAAAGCCUCCCUGAAGAAAGUGCUCUUCUCCAAGCAGCCUCCUCAGUCCCAAGGCCACAAGAUGGAUCACACUGCCACAACCCCAGGUGGAGAAAUAAAGAAAGUUAAACUCCACCUGAAGUUCGUGGAUUUGGCAAGACUGACUGGCCAGACAGACAGAGUGAAGGAUCAACAUCCUCAUCUGCAUCCCUUGCUGAGAUCACAGGCUCAUGCUGCCAGGCCCAGCUUCUGUGUGACUGUGGGGACCCUGAACUCAGAUCCCCACACUUGCUUGGCAGGCACUUUACUCCAGGAGGCAGCCAUCUCUUCAGUUCCCUAUCUCUGCAUUUUAAACAGAAACCGUGAACAUUAAGUCACGUGACAAAGCCGCAUCUACCUGGUUACCAGGAAUCAUGUGGCUGUAUCUUUUCAAUGCCACUUCUAGUUCUCCGUGGCAGGACUUAUUUUUCUAGCUCCCAAAUGUGGUGUCUUUGUUAGAGCAUUUGUAUCUUUUAUCACAGGUCUUUUGUUAGGGAAUAAUUUGAGUCACUGCAUAGAGAAUUUGAGAAGGGUGCCUAGUUAUGGCACUCAGCAGUGUAUGACUUUCAAUAAAUCUCUUAAUAUCUGGAAACCAUUUUCUAUAAAAAAAUUUAAGCUAUGUAAUAAGGCCUACUUCAAAAUGCUGUGCUGGGCCAAUGUGAAAUUGGAUCUAAAAACUGGGCACAUGUCAGGUUCAUUGCCAAGAUGGGGAAGGAAGUGGAUGCAGAGGGAACCCACAAACCUCACUCUUUCCUCUGUGUCAGCUCUCCCACCUUUCCUUUGUUAAGAAUGGCCUGCUGCCUGGAAAACAUACCUAAGGGCUAGAGACCUCUGAGUCCUCCAUGAACCUAGAAGAUAUCCUCUUGAUUCUGGUCAAGAACAAGGUACAGUUACUUGUUCUCAAUACCCAGAGUCAACCUGAUGCUCUAUCGUAACAGCAGACUCACCAAGAACUCAUCUGUGACCCAGACACCCUGCUCAACCCCUUCCUGAAUUAUUGCUAUGCCCAAUGCUCAAUGCUCCCAUCAGUGCCUCCCACUGACUAAACCUCAUCCUAAACCAAAGUACAGAUGCCCCUGGGGUGGGCUUGUAAGGGUCAGCACCCAGAGGACAAAGACAGAACUGUGUCCCUAAGGUGGGAGAGGGGUGAACAGGACCCAACAAGUGUGCAAGCUAGGUUUCAAGUGUGAGAGGCGUGAGAGAGGAGACACAUUGUUUCUCCCCAAGCAGAACCCAGGCCCCAUGCUCUUCGGUAGGUAGAGUGCAGUUGCCAUGUGAAGACAAGGCACAGAGUGAAGAAGCACCUUGUGGUCCUUUUCCCUAGAGAGUGUGGAAAUGCUCAUUUCUUUUCCUGUGGUCAGACUGAGGAUGUCCACAGCAGUGCUGCAACAGGAAGGGCCCAGGCUUUCCCCUUACAGACACACUGCUGCUGCUGCAGGUUGGUUGGUUGUUUCAAUGAGUGUUGACAGAGGUAGUGAGACCUCACUAGUCAUACCUAAGUCAUACACAACUCCAUUUCAUCUUAUCUGCAGUGCUGGGCAUAGAACUCGGCUCCUUCCUAGUCGGCCUCUCUGCCAGUGAGCCACACUCUCAGUCAUACUCUCAGCCCAUUGUGGAUAUUUUUCAAAGGUUCUUGAUCACCUCGUUACUACCUUGAAAUUUCAGCAGUUAUUCACCCCAAUGUUAGCUGUUGUUUAGUGCAUUAAUGAGGAAACACUACCAAAUGCUGUUAGUCCAUGUUGUCUCCAGUUCUUUGGUGAUUUUACACGGCAUGUACAAUGUAUUUAAAUCAUAAUCACCCUUCACUAUCCCUCUCUAACUUUUCUUGGAACCCUCUCCCUCAGAUUCCCCCACUUUCAUGUUUUCUUCUUACUUUUUACUUCUUCAAAUAACACAAGCUAGCUAAUGUCAUGUCAACUUGAAAUAGCCACUUGAGAAGAGAACCUCAAUUGAGAAAAUGGCCCCACUACAUUGGCCUGAGGUGCAUUUUCUUGAUUGAUGUCUGAUGAGGGAGGCUCCAGUUUACUGUGUGGUGGGGUCAAUGCUGGGGUAGUGGUCUUGGAUGCUAUAAGAAAGCAGACUAAGCAAGCCACGAGGAGCAAGCCAGUAAGCAGCACUCCUCCAUGGCUUCUCCAUCAGCUCCUAUCUCCAGGUUCCUGCCAUGAGUUCCUGCUGUGACUUCACCAAGUGGCAGAGUGUGACCUGAGAAUUGGAAGAUGUAAUAAGCCCUUUCCUCACCAAGUUUCUGUUGGUCAUAUUGUUUAAUUACAAUAGCAGGAACACUAAGACAUAAUCCACUGAGUCCAAUUACUGCUGCCUAUGAUUGGAGGGCCAUCCAACAGAGCCCGGACCACAUCCCUAGAGAAAAUGCAUCACCUCUCUCCCAGAAUUCAUCUGACAAUAGGCUCCUCACCUAGGUUUAGAAUCUCAUGAGUUGACUGGUUUGAUAUUGUAUAGGCAAUCAUAGCUGUUGUGAGUUCAUGAGAACAACAGCCCUGGCAUGACCAGAAGACCUUAUUUUGUAGCUGUUGUCUCCAACCUCUGGCUUUCACAAUCACCUUCUUCUAGGAUGUUCUCUAAAAGGGUGUGUGUGUGUGUGUGUGUGUGUGGGUGGUGGUGGUGGUGGUGGUGGUGGUUUUUCUGUUUAGGACUGAGCACUCCACGGUCACUUAUUUUCUGUACUUUGAGCAACUAGGAAUCUCCAGAGCCAAGAACUAUGAGGAUGAGAGAAAGCUGAACUAAUCUCUGGGUAUAAAAUUAGACAUUUCAAUGGCAGUUUGUACUACCAUGUGUUUUGAAAAGACUUUGAAACGUCAAUUUAAUGAUUGUAAGCUUGCUGAACCACAGACUCACCACCCUACUCUCAGGUGUGUGGAGUCAAAAUUUUGGUAUGGGGACCUGGGGAUCUGAAUGUGCUCUUAACUCCUUGAGUGAUCUGAGGGGUAGAAUAAAUUCCUGCUAUAGAAUGUCU